rnacentral:rRNA from 1 species
CCUACGGGAGGCACCAGUGGGGAAUAUUGCACGAUGGGCGCAAGCCUGAUGCAGCCAUGCCGCGUGUAUGAAGAAGGCCUUCGGGUUGUAAAGUACUUUCAGCGGGGAGGAAGGUGUUGUGGUUAAUAACCGCAGCAAUUGACGUUACCCGCAGAAGAAGCACCGGCUAACUCCGUGCCAGCAGCCGCGGUAAUACGGAGGGUGCAAGCGUUAAUCGGAAUAACUGGGCGUAAAGCGCACGCAGGCGGUUUGUCAAGUCGGAUGUGAAAUCCCCGGGCUCAACCUGGGAACUGCAUUCGAAACUGGCAGGCUAGAGUCUUGUAGAGGGGGGUAGAAUUCCAGGUGCAGCGGUGAAAUGCGUAGAGAUCUGGAGGAAUACCGGUGGCGAAGGCGGCCCCUUGGACAAAGACUGACGCUCAGGUGCGAAAGCGUGGGGAGCAAACAGGAUUAGAUACCCGGGUAGUC